CUUUUAUCCCUGGGAGUCUCUCAUCCAAGUAUCAAACUGCCCCAGACCUCCUUAUCUUUUAAAACCAGAUGAGCUCAGGAAGAGCUGGAGGAGUAAAAUUAUCCUCCAUUAAGAAUCAACCAGUGGCUCCUCCAACCGGAACCUACUGCUCUGACCCCCUCCCCUAAUACUACAGGAAUUCCACUGCAGCAUUGUAAGAACGCAGGGCCUGAGUCUGAUCUCACUUGGGCCGAUGUUCCACUGCGCCGGCUUAACUGAAUUCAGUGCAGUUACUCCUGAUUUACUCCACUGUAUCGGGCAUCAUGAUCAGAUCCCUGAAGCUAAUUACAGUAGAAGAACUUGCAAAAGUUAGGGUUGCAAGAAAGCAAUGCUGAGAAGCACCGAUCGCCCUGCGUGAAAGAGCCUGGCUCCGAGGAUAACCGUCUGAAGAGACCUGACUCGAGUGCACUGUCCCAGGAACUCAAACAAGAACUGCUCUUGCUCACUGUGAAUUGUAACAUCACAACAGCCCCAGAGCACCCAUGGAGUCAGCGCUUGUGCCCACCAGGGUUAGUCCCUAUACAGCCUAGCAGCUGCAGCACCUACACUGCUUGCCUCCAAGUCACAGCCCGCCUGGCAUGCUACUGGCACCCCGGGGCUUUUUCCCACAGGACAAGUGCCUCAUUCAGUACAUCCAAGGAUGGACACACAGGGGGCAGAAUUAAGUUGCUAGAGCAACCAAACCCUACCUGGCAUUUGCUAGUUUUCGAGUGCUUGACUUUGCAACUUUAAUGUAGCUUCUUGGGUGAGCUAUUUGAGAUUUAAAUUACGGUAGCACCCAGGGACCCCAACCAGGGCACAGGGAUGAUGCUAGAGGAGCUGCUAAGGAGGGCAAGGGCAGCUGCAGCAAUAGAAGAGCCCUUGGGUAGGGUCUGCCUCAUCCCACUGAAUUGACUUGGGGGUGGAGGCAGCAGCACUUCUUGCAUUGGGGGCGAGGCAGGGCAGGGGAGGCAUUAGUACAAUUUUGGGGCAGAAGAAGCAGGGACCACUCCUCUUUCUCUUCACCUCCCUCCACCCGAUACCCCUGGCAGGGACCCUCCCCCGAAAUCCCCAAGCCUCUGGGUUAGGACCUUCCUCCUUUCUGUCACUGACUGACUCAGGGCCUGCAGCAGGGCCAUUCUCUGGGCAACAUAAUAAGCACAUGAGCUGGCUUGUAGUCGGCUGCCUGAUUGGCUAACCCGCCCCACUGGAGGGAAGAGUCAGCAGACUGGCUAUUAUGCCCAGCAGCUUCUCCUUCCUUCAUUGUGUCACUCCAAUUAACCCGUCUUUGAUCCUGGGCUCCAGUUCCUGGUUACUGCUCUAAGUCUUGGUCCUGACUCCUGAUUUCACCAUUGGGCAUGACUCCUGCUGACCUAUUUGUUGACAGAGUGAGUAAACAUCCCUAACAAUAGGGUUCAUAGUUAAUAACCAUUCUAAUCAAUCACAGCACAACAUGCAACAAAAACCAGAUGUGCCACAUUUUGGUGGCUGGUCACAAGUGAUGUUGACUUGGAGUGACGCCUGGGCAGGCUUGGGGAUCGAGAGCUGUUCUCUCUGCCGGAGCUGCCAGCCGCCUCUCAGCCAAGCCAUUGCAAGCUGGCUAGUGUAUUUUAGGUGCUGUGGUAGCAAUGGGUCUGGAAGCAGAGAUGCUGCAGCCUCACAAAUCAGUUCAGGGAAGAGUCUGCCGUGCAUAAGGACCUGUGACAAGACAAGGAAUUCUCAUAUGCUGCAGUUAAUGCUCCAAACAAUAAGACCACUACAAACAUUUCAAACCUACAUGGGAACGCCUCCUUUAAUACCUUGCCAGCACCUAGACCUUCAUCACAUUCUUUGCAAUGUCUCUUAUUUAUCAGUGGCUUAACUCCAGCCAUUUCCACUUUCAAUUUCUCUAUAUCUAAUCUACGCAAGUCAAUCAAAGCACACAGUGAUUUCAAUGUCAAGAUGUCUGGAGAGCUGUUGGAAUAGAUUGCUGGCAAGCUUUUGUAAAACUUGGAGUUCCUCUCAGAUAAUCUCCUUUGCAAUUCACCAUUGGUUUCAUCAGUCAGUUCAUGAUGAAUCUAUCGUGACCAGACAGCAAAUGUGAAAAAUCAGGAUGGUGAUUGGGUGUAAUAGGAGCCUCUA